UGUCUGCGUGGGGGCCUAGCUGCUUUGCGCCACCUCCUGGCCUCCCGGGACACUGCACUCACUGCUCUCACACUCCAUCCAUCCAUCUACCCCUCCACCUGUUAACCCACCCAUCCAUCAACCUAUCCAUCCAUCCAUCCAUCUACCUAUCCACCCAUCCACCUGUCUACAUACCCAUCCACCCGUCUAUUCACCACCCAUCCAUCCACCACUCAUCUACCCACCUGUCUACAUGUCUGUCC
rnacentral:lncRNA from 1 species